ensembl:lncRNA
CCAUCAUAUAAUAUAGCGGGUAAAGACAGCUGUCAGGGAGACACGUCCGAUUUUUGGAAAGGGUGCUGUCCCAGACACUUUUUGGCAGGACAGAAGUGGGACUACAAACGCGAAACGGUCCGGCUGGAAAGUUUGGCCAAAGCUGCUCAGCUGAAGUUGCGUGGCAGUCAUUUGCCGUCUGACAGCUUCCAGCUGCAGAGAAACUUCAGAGUUGGACAUUGACCAGGAGCACCUGUGGAGCUCAGAGAGACUUUUGGUCCCCUAGACGCUUAGAGGACAAGCAGCGGCCAGGUGCUGAGGAGACUGCAAGGCGCCAAAUACAUCACCACCCCUCGCUGUGUGACACAUUGCAGUGUUAUGCUAUUUGACCUGCCCAGCCAGCAGCACAGUCUGUCUCCUUUCCUAAUUCGCACCCCCUCCUCGGAAAGUGUGCUCUUUGCCUCCACCUGCGAUGUGGCAGUAAUACCACCGUGGAGACGGGCUGGAGCCUAACCUACACUGAAAAGGAAAUAAAACUCCCGAUGAACUGAAUUAGGGACGGCUGACCCAGCUCAUCUAGAUUCCUCGUACACAAGCAGAC